rnacentral:rRNA from 1 species
GGCCGCGGGAAUUCGAUGCGAGGCCUGACACAUGCAAGUCGAACGCACUUCUUUUCACCGGAGCUUGCUCCAACGGAAAGAAGUGAGUGGCGAAAAAAUGAGUAACACGUGGGCAACCUGCCCACCAGAGGGGGAUAACACUUGGAAACAGGUGCUAAUGCCGCAUAAUUGCUUUUGCCGCAUGGCGAAAGUAUGAAAGACGCUUCGGUGUCAGUGGUGGAUGGGCCCGCGGUGCAUUAGUUAGGUUGGUGGGGUAACGGCCUACCAAGACCAUGAUGCAUAGCCGACCUGAGAGGGUGAUCGGCCACACUGGGACUGAGACACGGCCCAGACUCCUACGGGAGGCAGCAGUAGGGAAUCUUCGGCAAUGG